rnacentral:rRNA from 1 species
GUGGGGAAUCUUGCGCAAUGGGCGAAAGCCUGACGCAGCCAUGCCGCGUGAAUGAUGAAGGUCUUAGGAUUGUAAAAUUCUUUCACCGGGGACGAUAAUGACGGUACCCGGAGAAGAAGCUCCGGCUAACUUCGUGCCAGCAGCCGCGGUAAUACGAAGGGGGCUAGCGUUGCUCGGAAUUACUGGGCGUAAAGGGCGCGUAGGCGGACAGUUUAGUCAGAGGUGAAAGCCCAGGGCUCAACCUUGGAAUUGCCUUUGAUACUGGCUGUCUUGAGUACGGGAGAAGUGAGUGGAACUCCGAGUGUAGAGGUGAAAUUCGUAGAUAUUCGGAAGAACACCAGUGGCGAAGGCGACUCACUGGCCCGUUACUGACGCUGAGGCGCGAAAGCGUGGGGAGCAAACAGGAUUAGAUACCCCAGUAGUCC